GUCCCCAUCGUCUAGAGGCCUAGGACACCGCCCUUUCACGGCGGCAGCACGGGUUCGAAUCCCGUUGGGGAUG
rnacentral:tRNA from 1 species